GGUCGCUUAGCUCAGUUGGUUAGAGCGUGGUGCUAAUACCUUGUAUGACACGCCAAGGUCGCGAGUUCGACCCUCGUAGUGACCA